rnacentral:rRNA from 1 species
GACGAACGCUGGCGGCGUGCCUAAUACAUGCAAGUAGAACGCUGAAGGAGGAGCUUGCUUCUCUGGAUGAGUUGCGAACGGGUGAGUAACGCGUAGGUAACCUGCCUGGUAGCGGGGGAUAACUAUUGGAAACGAUAGCUAAUACCGCAUAAUAGCAGUUAUUGCAUGAUAACUGUUUGAAAGGUGCAAUUGCAUCACUACCAGAUGGACCUGCGUUGUAUUAACUAGUUGGUGAGGUAACGGCUCACCAAGGCGACGAUACAUAGCCGACCUGAGAGGGUGAUCGGCCACACUGGGACUGAGACACGGCCCAGACUCCUACGGGAGGCAGCAGUAGGGAAUCUUCGGCAAUGGACGGAAGUCUGACCGAGCAACGCCGCGUGAGUGAAGAAGGUUUUCGGAUCAUAAAGCUCUGUUGUAAGAGAAGAACGAGUGUGAGAGUGGAAAGUUCACACUGGACGGUAUCUACCAGAAA